rnacentral:rRNA from 1 species
CUUGGUCAUUUAGAGGAAGUAAAAGUCGUAACAAGGUCUCCGUAGGUGAACCUGCGGAGGGAUCAUUAGCGAAUGGUCAUCCUUGAUCUUCCAACCUCAAACAACCGUGGACAUCAGACGUGCUUCGGCGCCGAGAGGCGUCGCCCUCAUGCUCAGAGUAUUUUAGAGUCUGUCUGAAGCAAAAUGUCAAAACUUUCAACAARGGAUCUCUUGGCUCUCGCAUCGAUGAAGAACGUAGCAAAGCGCGAAAUGUAGUGUGAAUUGCAGAACAUUGUGAAUCAUCGAAUCUUUGAACGCACAUUGCGCCUCCCGUGAGGGAGGCAYGCCUGUCUGAGCGUCAUCGAAACCGAUAAGUCUCCGGACUUGUGUUGGGCCCCGCACCCUGUGCGUCGCCUCGAAGCCAUGGUCUAACCUGCGGACGAGCUCCAAUCGGACCUGCCGUGGGGUGGCCCCGAACUCUGAAUUUGACCUCAGAUCAGGUAGGAGGACCGCCUGAACUUAAGCAUAUCAAUAAGCGGAGGA